rnacentral:rRNA from 1 species
GGAUUAGAUACCCUGGUAGUCCGCGCUGUAAACGAUGAGAACUGGGUGUUGGGGGAGUUAAGUCCUUCGGUGCCGAAGCCAACGCGAUAAGUUCUCCGCCUGGGGAGUACGGCCGCAAGGUUGAAACUCAAAGGAAUUGACGGGGGCCCGCACAAGCGGUGGAGCAUGUGGUUUAAUUCGAUGCAACGCGAAGAACCUUACCUGCCCUUGACAUCCUCGGAACUGGUGAGAGAUUGCCGGGUGCCUUCGGGAGCCGAGAGACAGGUGCUGCAUGGCUGUCGUCAGCUCGUGCUG